GCCGUGUGAGGACCGCAGGCCCGCGGGGGUGCUGGGCUCACGGCGCGGGACCCCGCCUUCCCCAGCCCGCCGUCGACUCCCGGGGGAAGCUCCUGGGAGGGGACGGGAGAUGCUUCAGUAGGUCUCUGGCACUGGGCGAAGGUGGUAGGCGGCUUUCCUGUCUGCCAAGCACUGCGAUCUGCUUAGCAUCGGAACACUCUCUUUAGACUUCGACAUGGCAUCCUCCAAGAAGGUUACCCUGUCAGUGCUGAGCCGGGAGCAGUCGGAAGGGGUUGGAGCCAGGGUCCGCAGAAGCAUUGGCAGACCCGAGUUAAAAAAUCUGGAUCCAUUUUUACUGUUUGAUGAAUUUAAAGGAGGUAGACCAGGUGGAUUUCCUGAUCACCCACAUCGAGGUUUUGAGACAGUA